GACGAACCGAGCGAACGUUGUUCGGAAUCACUGGGCUUAAAGGGCGCGUAGGCGGGCAUUCAAGUCCGUGGUGAAAUCCUCCAGCUCAACUGGAGAACUGCCUCGGAUACUGGGUGUCUCGAGGGUGGUAGGGGUCUGCGAAACUAUCGGUGGAGCGGUGAAAUGCGUUGAUAUCGAUAGGAACUCCGGUGGCGAAGGCGGCAGGCUGGACCACUUCUGACGCUGAGGCGCGAAAGCCAGGGGAGCAAACGGG
rnacentral:rRNA from 1 species